CGCUAGCCGCAUGCUUAACACUUGCAAGUCGAGGGGCAGCACGGGUACCAAUACCUGGCGGCGACCGGCGCACGGGUGCGUAAUGCGUGAGCACCAUGCCCGUAUCAGGGGAAUAAUCCACGGAAACUGGGCCUAAUCCCCCAUCGUAAAUAUUGAAGGCAGUCUGUAUAUUUUAAAGCUUUGGUGAAUACAGAUUGCCUCGCGUGACAUUAUCUAGAUGGUAAAGUAACUGCUCACCAUGGCUACCAUGUCUAGGGGUUCUAAGAUGAACAUCCCCCAUACUGCAACUAAAACACUGGACAAUACUACUACAGGAAGCAGCAGUGAAGAAUAUAGAACAAUGGAUGGAAAUCUGAUCCAAUCAUGCCGCAUGCAAGAAGACCGCCCUAUGGGUAGUAAACUGCUUUCAUAUGGAAACAAUACGACCUACUUCUCUGUUUAUGAGACUACCAUAUGAAUAAACACCCGCUAACUCCUCGCCACCACCCGCGGUAAUACACAUGGUGCACGCGCUAUCCUGAUAUAUUGUGUUCAAAAGGUGCGUACGCGCUUUGAUAAGUCACAGGCGAAAUAUUUCAGCUCAACUGCAAGGAUGCCCUCUAUACUCUCAAGCUCUAAUUUACUUGCUAUGGGUGGAAUAUGUCACGUAUCGCAGAAAUGCAUAUAUAUCACACAGAAUAUCACCUUGC
rnacentral:rRNA from 1 species